CCAUAAGGCACCUGCAGCGCUGACACAGCUCAGGGACUCCGUGAUUAGUGCUGUGCUAUCAGAGGGUCGGGCAGCAAGCAGAUAACCCAUCUAAUAGUGUACACUUUCCACGUUAAACCUGCCUGGGAGGAACCAGUGCUGUUUGGUCUCUGCAAACUGCUGACGUUCCGGCUCUGUGACCAGUUUUGUCAGUGGACUUGAAUGAGGCUGCAAAGAGGAGGGCAGACAACACGUGGAGAAGUUGAAGCCUCUCUGGAAGAAAUGUGGCUGAGUAAAGUGAUGUGCAUGUGAAACACUCUGAAAAUGGUGAAUAAAACAAAAAAGAGGCAGAGGAGCAAAGGGGAGGCAUCACACUAUUCACCACUGACAGAGAGGAGAUAACAGGCGUUGUGGAUGUGCAGUCUGACAUGCCAUGGCAGUGCUGUGUUUCAUUGUGGAGUGUUGAGAUGUUACUGAACAUGGUCUUCUCUUCAAGUGAAGGCCUGAGGUGUCAAAUGGAGAGGUAUCAGAAAACCCAUCCCAAACGGAGCUCUCUUAGGGGAAAGGAGCUGAUAACUGUGGGGUCUACUACUUGAUUUAGCAUUCAGUAAGCAGCUGAAGGUGAAAAGGACAGCUCUGGACAGCUGCUUGGGACACAACUACAAAAGGGCACAGUGCUGCACUAAGCACUUGACUGGGCUUGCAAGUUACCCUGGUAGGUGAGGCUAUCUCAGGCACUGCUGCCAGGUGAGGAGCAGGAGCCUGCAGACAGCUGGAUUUUCAGUGGCACUGCAUGUUAUUUUUUCUGUUCAGCUGAAGUCACAGGUGCUGCAGUGCUUCUUGCUGGUAGGCUCUUGAGCUUUCGGCUGGGCACCCAUCCAGCCAUCCAUCACUCUUGGAUUUUGUCCACGGGAAACCAAAUGUGAUCUGAGAGUUGCCACCACAGCAGAGACAUCAAACAGACACCUGGCAUUUAAUACAAACUGAGGCAAAUUUGAUCUGAAAAUAGAACCAGGGCGUGCCUUGAGUGCCAGGCCUGCUAUGGGGCUUCUGGCUGCUCCCUUGCGGCUGGGUCACAGCCUUGUAGGUCAGCUCCAAGCAGCAGGCAGAAACAAAUGUUUGGAUGUAAGUGUAGAAAAGCUGAUGUGUGGCAGCUCGGAACUUCAGGUAAACUGAAAGCCAAGACAGGCUUUUUCCCCCCCCUCCACAGCGAUGCGAUCAAAUGAGGAACAACGGAGCUCUUUUGUUCUUUGUGGCACAACUGACAGAUAACGUAGGGGGAGGAGAGAGUGGCUUUGUUUUUAACUGUGAAAUCCAUGAAGGGCUGUGUUCUUUGUGAAUUAAUUAAUUUGGAGAAAAUGGAAUGUAGUGAUUUGACAAAAGAUUCAUUUCCACCCACUUCCCAGCUGGCUCUCUAGCAUGGUUUAAACAUAGACUGUCGCAUUCUUAGCACUCGUGAAUGUUUGGAUAGAAAUAACUUAUGCCUUUUGGAGCCCUAAGUAGCAGCGGUGCGCCCCGUGCUGCUCACGGUAGCAGGUGGGACUCAGUGUAUUACCCAGUGAUGUUCUGCAGGCAGGUACAGAUACAUAUUAAGGACAAAAGCUGUGGCAGAUCAUAAUCAUAAACUCAUUAGUCUGCUAACAAGAGCUGGGAGAAUAAACCUGAAAUGAAAGUGUAGUUUGCUAUAAUGGCAUGCAGCAGACACCUGCUGGCUUCCCGAGGUCAUGACUUCACCUUGGGAAGUGGUGUGCCGUCUGCCCACUGAUAAUAAACCAGCUUAGAGACUGUCAGGAUAUGUAAACUCCAGAUUUUCUUCCAAAUAAUUCAAAUAUUGGCAAAUCUUUAAUUAGAUCUACCAAAGAAAGCUGUUUUGGAGUCUUCUACGUCAAGAUAAUGCACCUAACC
ensembl:lncRNA